GUAGGUGGCAAGCGUUGUCCGGAAUUAUUGGGCGUAAAGCGCGCGCAGGCGGUUCUUUAAGUCUGAUGUGAAAGCCCACGGCUCAACCGUGGAGGGUCAUUGGAAACUGGAGAACUUGAGUACAGAAGAGGAAAGCGGAAUUCCACGUGUAGCGGUGAAAUGCGUAGAGAUGUGGAGGAACACCAGUGGCGAAGGCGGCUUUCUGGUCUGUAACUGACGCUGAGGCGCGAAAGCGUGGGGAGCAAACAGGAUUAGAUACCCUGGUAGUCCACGCCGUAAACGAUGAGUGCUAAGUGUUAGGGGGUUUCCGCCCCCCUUAGUGCUGCAGCUAACGCAUUAAGCACUCCGCCUGGGAUACGGCGCAAGGCUG
rnacentral:rRNA from 1 species